UACAUCCUCGUCAAUAUUUCGGUUUCGGAUUGUCCGUAAAACAUCUCUUGUAUCAAUCAGCAACCUCAUUCGGGCUGAUAGGUUGAUUUAGUAUAAUGGCUGUUGAUUCUAUGGUCAUUUUUUUGGAUUCAAGUGAUGUUUCUUGGAGGCAAUUCUUCAGUGCUAGUGCUCUGGAUGAGUAAUGUAAUACUGGCAUGGAAAUUUGGAGGGCUCCCGGAACGUUACCGCAGAUAAUAGAAUUACCAAUUCGUUGUGUGCGCACCAAAAAUGCACCGUUGACGAACGUACAGAAAAACAUCCUAGAGGACCAAAAAGUACACGUACAUGAUGAAAAUGGAAGAAUGUAUACCAAUCCAACACGGUAGCAUCGCAAAUUAAGAAUCAACCGUCGUUUAAUGACUUUAGCAGCAAAUCCUAUCACAAGUUUCAUCAUCAGUCUUAUAAUACAACUUUAAUGGUGGAAUGUAUGCUACAUCUCCACAACUAUGUGGUGAUACUUCGGGAAAAUCGUAGGCAAUGGUAUCAUUUCCGCCAAAGACAUCCUGCACAUCUCGUAUAAAGUUGCCCGCUACGUUCUCCGCACAAUCUUCAGCAGGUCCCUGCGAUAACAGGACAUCAAAGCUAAAGUGGCCAGCUUGAUCGAAGUGCUUUGAAUAAAAGAU